rnacentral:pre_miRNA from 1 species
GGAUUGUUCUAGAAUGGGCGACGUCCUAGUCUCUCUUGCAACUGGAAUCCCAGUUGCAAGAGAGACUAGGACGUCGCCCAUUCUAGAACAAUCUUGG